rnacentral:rRNA from 1 species
ACGAAGUUGGAAUUGCUAGUAAUCGUGGAUCAGCAUGCCACGGUGAAUACGUUCCCGGGUCUUGUACACACCGCCCGUCACACCAUGGGAGCCGGUAAUACCCGAAGUCAGUAGUCUAACCGCAAGGAGGACGCUGCCGAAGGUAGGAUUGGCGACUGGGGUGAAGUCGUAACAAGGUAUC